UUCUGUUUUCUGUCAGUUCGAUUCAGUGCUGUCAUGUGAAGCUUUGAUUGUUUGCUUUACUUAUUUCUAACGUUUUUAUUUUGGACUCUUGAAGAAAGUUUAAUUAUAGAUACCUUAAAAUUAAUUUAAACGUUAUAUUUUAUCAUAGCUACAUGUGUGGCGUUCCUGCGUUAACUCCUCUUCUCUCUAUCAGUUUUAAAUCUUAUUUUAUUUUCGCAUAAAUAAAUCACGCUAAUCGUUAAUAAAUCUCGAUGUUUGUUUGUGAAUAAAAUAAGUGUUUAUCAGUGCGCGAGUGAAAUACAAGAGCAGUCAAAUGUUAAUGGUUCCCGCGAUAAUUUCGAUGUUAGAAUCGGAUCGGGACUUACGCGCGAGGAGGGACUAUGUUGUUUAUCAGUGCCUUAGCGAUCGGGAUGGUGACCGGCUUGCAGAAUGCUACCACGGACGUUGCGGCGGUCAGUGACGUCACGGGGGCGCCGCGGCGCGAGAUGGUGCUGGACGCGCCGAAGCUGGCGCCGCCGAGUCAGCUGGAUAACGUGACGGUGCAGGAUCGGCCGUCGAUGUGGGACAUGUAUUUGAACCCGUGCGGUAAAUGGCGGCCGAUAAAUCACAUAUUUUUCCAAGUGGCCAAUGUUUUUUUUCUGCUGUCGUUCUUGGCGCCCCACACGCCGACAGGACUGAUAUGGUUGCGCGUGGCUCUGAUCCUCGGGUGCACGUUUUCUGGGAUCUGGGCGUGGAGCAUCGAGUGCCAUCUGGAUGCUGUGCUGUGGAACAGUGCAUUUGUAGCUAUAAACUUUGUAUAUUUCUCGGUGCACUUCUAUUUGAUGAGGCCAAUAAAGUUUCACAAAGACAUUGAAGAGGUUUACGUGGCCCUCUUCAAGCCUCUUCGAGUCUCGCGGCGGCAGUUCCGACGGGUGCUCCGCUGCAUGCGCAACGUGCGCCAUCUCAAGUGCCACGAGCUAUACGCGCAUGAGAAGGUCACCAAGGUGGACAGUCUCUCCCUCGUGCUGUCCGGCAAACUGGUGGUGUCGCAGAACCAGAGGGCGCUGCACAUCGUGUUCCCGCACCACUUCCUCGACUCGCCCGAGUGGUUCGGUGUCUCCACCGAUGAGUACUUCCAGGUGUCAAUUAUGGCGAUGGAAGAAUCCCGAGUGCUCGUGUGGCACCGAGACAAACUCAAGCUUUCAAUCAUGUCGGAUGCCUUCCUACAGGCGGUGUUCGACCAUAUCCUCGGUAGAGACGUCGUGCACAAGCUCAUGCAGGUGAGCGAAACGAUGGCAGUGAGCAACGGGCACCUGCCGAACAGUUUCGAGGAGGGCGAGGACAAGCCCAUGCUGGUCGUGAAGAAGAGCGGCGACGGGCCCGGCAUCACCGCGCUGCUCAACCGGCAGCUGCAAGGCGAGCACGCGCCGCUGCUGCCCGCGCCGCACAGCUGCUGAGCAUCGAAUCCUCAACCAUCCCUCUCCCUCCCACUCAUUAUUUGCUUAUGGUUCCUUGGCGUUCUUCUCUCUCGCACUAACCAUCUACUUGGCUAUAUAAACGAUACGUCGGCGAUAAACGCCACAGUACUACUGGUAGCGUCGACACAGUUAACUGAUAACUAGAGUUUUAUUACAAUAUGGAUGAGGUUGUUUCUCUCGCGACAGUGAGGUAUGCGUAAAAACCCACAGAUUAUAAAAAUAGAACACAAAAAAGUCUUUAGUCUGUGGUGUAUUUCUAUGGAUUUGGUAUUGCCAUCUGCAUUGUGCGUUUACCCUCUUUUUUUUCUUGCGAAUACCUAAGGGGGACUAGAUUCUGUGUAAUUUCGUCCAUUUUUUAUUUAUUCGUUAAUUUUGGGUUAAUGCUUGAAAGUAACCUAUUAUUUACAUCAAUUGAGCAACUUUAACUGCUAAUAAUACAUAAUAUAUUUUUCGAUGCUCUCGUUUAUUUCGAACCUCAAUAAGAAAGAGUAGUAUUUACGUCACUACGUAUUUUAACGUAACCAAUGUAACCAUAUUACUACCCAUAUACAUAAAGAUACAUUUUCUUUCUUAUAACUAAAGAUAAUUGUAUUUGUAUAGGUAUUUUUCAGUUUGCGUAUUUUUAGACACAUAUACCUACAAGUACUUAUAUGUACCUAAUCUUUAAAAUGAAAAGUGUGAUUACCUAACCAUGACAUUAACAUGAAUCUUUUUAGCUAACGUGUAUGUUCACAUAUUUAAAAUAUGCUACUUUUAUAUGUCGCAUGUAGAUGUCUGUAUUAACGAACUAGUCAUGUAUCGUUUUCCAUUAUUAUAUUUUAAAUUUACUAACAUACACAGUUUUCAUUCACUUUUAAACAGAAUUUAAAUUAUCUGUGAAUAAAAUCAUGUUAAAUAUUUUUAUCAAUUAAUAUGUGAGAUGUUAAAAUGUCCUUUGUCUGGGUCAAAAUCUUCACCUAGGUACAUUGAAGUAUUUUUAAAACCGAAGGAUAUUUUAAAAUAUCACGUACUCAAUAACUUCACUUUACAUUGAAACUUACAUAUUUGUAUAAGCAAAUAUGUAUUGUUAAAGUUCACUAUGAAUAUAUAAUUUGAAUUUUGUUCGUGAAUGGAUUCUUGAAUCUAAUAAUAAAUGCAUGCGCAUAAGUAUAUUUGAAGAUGCUUGCACGUAUAUAAUGCUAGUAUCUGUCUCUUUAUAUACUUAACUAUUUUUAACAUUAACUAAUAAUAAUUAUUAGUUUACUUAGUAUUUUUUGAGAAUAUUUUAUAAAAUAAGGUCACUUUUUGCAGCUAGCAAAUAGAUACAAGCAACAUAUUUAGGCUAUACUUAGAUAUUAUAAAAUGCUUUAAUGGUAUAGUUGUUACCCCAUAAUAUAAGCAAUAAUUUAUAGUUUAUGUAAGAAGAUAUAAGCUUAUAAUCAAUGAUCCUUAUCGUCCUAUCCUUUAAAUCCAAAAUCCCUGAGCAUGUUUGGAAGAUCAACAUCUGGAGCGAGCGACCCCAACGCGUGGCGCCUCGGCCGCAUCGAGGAGAGCGACCACGAGACGCCCGUGUGAGGCCGGACUAAGCGCGCGCCCGCCCUGGGACGCCGCCGCCGCCGCUAGUAGAGACCCUAUUGUCUACGCCACAAAGUUCUAACUCGCACGGACACGGACCCAUUAUGAAACUACGGAGACCUCGGUUAUGACAAAGUGGAAGUUCGCUUUCGCUGUUUAAAUACUUUUGGAUGUGAAUAUGGUGAAGGUCUAGUCGAUAUGAGUACCGCGAGAUAUUGUUCUCUGGCGCUAGUGUUUGUCCCGGUGUUGUAAGAAGAGGUUCUACGGAGAUUGGCAGCUUUAGAAUAGCGCUAGACGACGAACGAAGUCUUUUACGCCAUUUUUGAACAUAUUUUACGGAACACGAGUUUUUCUUUACGAUCUGAGAGAAAAUAGAGAAUUUAUAGCAAUGCAAACGACACAGUUUAGCACAUUUCUAGCGGAAAGGAAGUCCAAGUUAGAUUACAUGAAACUAUUGAUAUUAUUUCUAUGGGGAUAGAUGUAGAAAAGCUGUAAAUGUAAAGACAUGUUAAAUAGCGCCACAAUAAUAUUUUGUGGUAGUGUCAAUAGCCUUAGUUAGGCAGCUAGUGAUAAAGCGGUGUAAAGUGAUAUGUGCGCUAUGGCUUGAGUGGUAAGAUCAGAAUUUUAAUAAGAUUUGUAAUGUGGUGUUAUCUUUUAUUUAUGAUUGAAUCAAAUAUGUUUUUUUUUUCAGCUACGGUAAUCUGUGAUUAUAAUGCAACUAUUUGUAAAUUUAAUUUUGACUGAUUUCAUUUAUGAAAAUUAUUUAAGUAUUGUAUCACCUUGAAAAGGCUUUGGUUUUGCGUCCAUUAUAUUAUGAAAUGAAACAAAAAUUCAUGUAGGCAAUUAAAAUUAUUAUCUGUUUAUUAAGCACAAAUUCUUGAUUCCCAUUAGAUUAUUCAAUCUGUAAGGGCAUAGGGUGGGUUGUUCUACUUGGUAUGUACCAAGUAGAACAACCACCAGAAUGAAUGAAAUGUUUCCAACUAUAAAAAAAAAACUUUAAAAAAGUAUUUGUUUAGUUUCAUUGUUUUUGUAUGAUUAGCAUUAAAUGGUUAUGUCUAUCAGGGCUAAACAGGAUAUUAUUGCUUAUAUAAGCUAGGUCUUGCAUACGAUACCUCAAUGAGUUAUAGGCAUUUUGUUUCUUUUUUUGGCAGGGUUGGCAGGAUAGAUGUGUUAAGAAAAGGAUAGCAAAAAAAUGAGACACACUAGCAAAGACUAGAAUUUACAGUUAUAUGUAAUAGAUAUGGAGAUAGACUUAUUAUGUCCCAAAAUAAAACUGAGGUAAAUAGAUUCCAUCAACAUUUUGUAAUAAAUAGCUCGUAUGAUAGAGUAAAAUGUAAAAAUUAUGUGUAAUCAAAAUGAAUUGAUUAACUGUAAACGGUGGAAGUCACAUUUAGUUAGGUGGCUAUUUACAAUUAAUAACAAUAACUAAACAUCAUAAUAAGACUAAAUAGUAGGGUUCAUUACCAUAUCCUGCAAUAUUUUUAGAAAUACAUAAGUCCAGUAGGAAUCAAACGAAUACUGCAGCAUGAGAAGUACAAGUUGAAUUGCAUAAUCCUUAUAUUCAAAGUUGAUAAAAUAAACUUAUAUCUGUACAGAAUAUACAUAUAAAACUAUCACACCAUAUUGAAUGUACAAAUAAAUAAUACUUUAUUGCCUAAAAAUGCACCAUAAAUUUGAACAUUAUAGAUAUCAAAGUAAGUUUUUUUUAUGCAGGGAGUAAUUGUUAAACCAAAGUAUUGAAAUGGUGCCCUAUUCUUGUAAAUGUACAGACUAUAGAACUGUGUUGUAAUAUUCGAUGUUGGAAAUUGUAAGCAAUAGAUUUUGAUGUAAAUUAUAUUCAUAACAUUCCAUCAUUUCCUUUUGCAAAUGUGCAAAAUGUUAGGAAUAUUUCUUGUGUAAACAAGACUAUUGUGACUUAUACAUUAAGCUAGAGAAUGCUUUGAAGAGGUGUUGACAGAAUAUUGAUUAUCUGGACGUUUACACUGAAAUAUUAUAGCAAAUAAAUUACAUAUUGAUGUUGGAUCCUAAAAUAAUUAUCACAAAUGCACUGCCAAUGCAAAUAAUAAUAUUAAACUGAUUUUAAAUGACUCGAGAUCAAGUUACCAGACUUGCAGAACAUGUAAGUGAUACUGUGAGAUAAUAAUUCUUAAAUUAAGGAUCUCAUGUUUAUAAUAUGUGUCGUUUUCAAUCAAAAGGUACCACAUUGUCGCUUGCCAUGAGGACGCUCUGACAGGUUAUUCGUAUAAAGAUACAAUCCAAUUUCGUCCUUGUGUAUUGUAUUGUAGUUCAGGCCAUUUUCCGCAACUCGACGACUGGCGCCUAUUUUGCGUGACAUGAGGGGGGUGGGCUAGUCCUGCCAGCCCAGCUCCUCGAGGAAUCCUAUCAAACCUAUUCGUCGUUAUGGUAAGCAACAAUGUGGUACCUUUUGAUUGAAACCAACACAUAUGCGCAAGGCUGUUUUAUAAGGCCCAAAUAGAUUUCUAAUAAAAAUACAUUUUUCAUAACAGCCAAGUGUAGGUGUAAUGUAAGAAUUUGCUGGUACAAAAUACUGAAAAGAGUAUCAAAAUUGUGACGUUAUCAACUAGAAGGUACCACAUUGUCAGUUGUUGAUAAGGUUGAUUUCAAAUUGAAGGUUUAUAGAAAUAGUGCAUUAUUGACAACCAACAAUAAGUACCCUUUUGGUUGAAAAUGGCACAAUUAUUGAAAGAAUUGGGAUUUAUGGAAUGGUCUUGUGAAUCUACUACUUGCCUUGAUGUAAAAUGUUUAUUGUACUUGUAUAAAAUGAGCGCCUGAUGUGGGAUUAGAAUGCCUUAAUGAAUUGCAAUGUGUGAUGAACGUAAAUUAUGAAUGUGAUUAUGUACCUAUUAUUAUAACUGAAUCAAUGUAGUUCAUCUUGAGACAGAUAAAUAAAAGUAACUACUUGUAUAA